rnacentral:lncRNA from 1 species
UAUAUAUAUAUUUUUUUUUCCACCCCCAUACUCAAUCACAUCACCCAUCUUUUCACCCUUUCUAUCUUAUUUAAUUUAUCAAAUACCAACAUGUCCUAAACCUUAGCCAACUAAACCCAUUUUCAGCUUUAGGCCGGAAUUAGCUUCGUCAAAACCCGUGAGUUACGAAUCCGAGCAAUUCAACUCCUAAAAUUCCAGUACUUAUUACUUCUCCGGAUUAAGAGUAUGAUUUUGUCAGCUCACAGAGUCAGAUCAACACUAAGUCAAAAAAAACGUCGUUUGAUUUAGUAUGGUUAAACGUACAGUUGGAAUUCCGAAAGGAACGUUUCUAAUCGGUUUUCUGUGAACACAUUGGCGUGCCAAGUGGAGAUAGCUGUUUGUUCCGUCAAGGGAAGUAGUAACCGGAUUUAAAUGUCCCACGCGGUUGAGGGCAUUGGUUCGAGCUAGGCUCUUCUAGAACGCAAAGCUACCGGAGUUCUAAAUCACGAACAUUUCGUGGUUGUUCGAUCGGUAAGAAUUAGUUAUUGGAAGUUCCAUAACUAAUUUACACAAGGAAGAGUUGGUGCCCGAGGCGUCCUUGGUGGCUAUAACUAGCUUAUUGGAAAAGAGGAGUUCAUCCAAUUUCGAGGAUCGGUUCAAAGACGAGGAAAAUUCGUGCCUAAAGCUGAGCUCAUUCUAAUUAAUUUUUCUUAAUAUUUAUUUAACCAUUUUUAUUAUUCUGUUUUCAACUUUUAUUUUUGACGUUAUUUUUCUGUUAAUUUCAGGUUUUCAAAUUUUUAUCCCCCCGAACAUCUUGGGCACGACAGCUGCCCCGACAUAAAUCUGGUCAAGCAAGCAACAAUUUACAGUAAACCAGUCUCUGAGGGAUCAACCCUACUCCCUAUACUGCAUAAUUUGCAAACUAAGGUGUAGAUUUAUAUUGGUGGAUUCGACACCCACCAUUUUUGGUGCCGUUGCUGGGGACUGGCAACACUUACAAAUUGUUUAGAUUAUCUUCAUGACCAGAUCUUCAUCCGGAGAUCUCGAAUACGACCCAGAGAUUGAAAAAUCAGCACGAGCGCGACGUAAAGAGACAAAAGUUCUUAAACGUGUAAAAGCAAUUGAACGUGGAAAACAAGUCGAAGUGGUUGAACCAGAGACCAAACCACUUUGUGAAACAAAAGAGGUGGAAGACAACCUCGGUGAACCAGAAAGGAUGGCGAACCGAACCAUUCGUCAGCUAGCCGUAGCUCCAAACUAGCAAACACCGUUAUGCAUCAACUAUCCAGCCGGAGAAACCCCAUUCGAGUUGAAGUCAGGCCUGAUCCACCUUUUGCCCACUUUUCGAGGCUUGAAGAACGAAAAUCCACACACUCACUUGAGAGAGUUCCACAUGGUCUGCUCAAGCAUGAAACCACAGGGAGUAACCGAAGAUGAAAUCAAACUUCGGGCCUUUCCAUUUUCUUUAGUUGAUACAGCAAGAGAAUGGUUAUUUUACUUACCUCCCAGUUUUAUUACAACGUGGGAUGACUUAUCUCGUGUUUUUCUUGACAGAUUUUUCCCAGCAUUGCGAGCAGUUGAACUUAGGAGAGACAUAGUGGGAAUUCGCCAAAUAGAGAGUGAAUCGCUCUACGACUAUUGGGAGCGAUACAAAAAACUGUGUGCAAGUUGUCCUCAACACGGUUUGACCGAGCAAUCACUUCUUCAGUAUUUCUACGAGGGUUUGCUCCCUAUGGAAAUGAAAAUGAUUGACGCAGCUAGUGGAGGGGCACUUGUCAAUAUGACUCCUCAAAGGGAAAGAGAACUGAUAUCCACCAAGGCGGCAAAUUCUCAACAGUAUCGGCCGAAUUCAGAACCCACAAGACGGGUUAAUUGGGUAAACGUUUGAUCCCUAGAAGAUAAAUUGGAUAAGCUUACUAAUAUUGUUCAAUCUAUGCUUACAGAAAAGAAGAAUCAGACCUAACUGUGUGGAAUUUGUACUACAUCUGAACAUCCGACAGAUAUGUGCCCAAUCCUUAACGAAAAUUCAACGACACAUGUUGACGCUGUCGGAGGCUUUCCGGAACCUCUACAAAAACGAUAUGAUCCUUUUUCUAACACCUACAAUCCCGGGUGGAAGGAUCAUCCCAACUUGAAUUACGGAGCUAAUUCCCGAUAUAAUUCAUCAUACCAACCGAGACCUUUGCAACCACCGCAACCGCCACCCAAGCCGAGCAUAUCUCUAGAAGCUAUUAUGGAGAGACUUGCCGUCGAUGCUGUAAAAUACCAACAAAGGACAGACGCAUCAAUACAAGAGUUAACUAAUCAAGUUAGUAAACUCUCGAUGGCAGUUAAUCGUUUGGAGUCUCAAGGUAAAUUACCUUCCCAGAUAGAGCCGAAUCCUCGGUAGAAUGCAAGUGCAAUAACUCUUCGUAGCGAAAAAAUUCUGGAACCAGUUCCGGAUAAAAGUCUUGGGCAAGACAAGGAACGGGAAAAGCCGAUCCCUGAUCGAAAAACCAAACUAGAAUCAGAAAUUCAAAAACCAGUUGUUGUGCCACCUCCUUUUCCAGGGAGACUCGUGAAGGAUAAGAAAGAAAAGGAGGAAAAAGAAAUUCUUGAAACGUUCAGGAAAGUGGAGGUGAAUAUCCCUUUGCUCGAUGCUAUCAAACAAAUCCCUCGCUAUGCAAAAUUUCUCAAAGAAUUGUGUACUAGCAAGAGGAGGUUAUUAGGUAACGAAAGGGUAAAUGUAGGAGAAAAUGUCUCCGCAGUACUGCAAAAAAAAGUUCCGCCCAAAUACAAGGACCAAGGUAUGUUUGCUAUUUCCUGUGAGAUAGGUAAUGUAGGCAUUAAGAAAGCCAUGUGUGAUUUAGGGGCUUCCAUUAAUGUUAUGCCUUAUCCUAUUUAUAAGUUGAUUAACACGGGUCCUUUGAAAAAGACAAGAGUAAUAAUCCAAUUGGCGGACAGGUCAGUCGUCUAUCCCGAAGGGUUGCUUGAAGACGUCCUUGUUAAAGUUAACGAAUUAGUUUUCCCUGCAGAUUUCUACAUUAUUAAUAUGGAGGAUGAUAACUCAACUAAUUCGUCUGACAUUUUGCUUGGAAGGCCGUUCUUAAGUACCGCAAGCGCAAAAAUUGACGUUCGGAGCGGAACACUGACAAUGGAGUUUGAUGGUGAAAUCGUGAAAUUCAAUGUCUACGAAGCUAUGGGUCAUCCUAACUCACUAUCAAAUAUCUCUAGCAUUGAUAUUAUAGAUUGUUUAACUCAAACUUAUUCUGAAUAUCAGGAUUUUGAUGAGUUAGAAACUAUCCUUUACAGAAGCAUUGACAUGGAUGUUUUAAGUCGCCUCGAUGAAUUAUCAAUUAUAAAAGAUCCGUUACGAGAAAUUGUCAAACACUUAGAGACUCAACCAUCGUCGACGAAUCGAGGUAACCAAUUUGAACUAUUACCUUCCCAAACUAAAAUGUUGCCUUCGAUUUUGCAGCCACCAACCUUGGAGCUUAAAGCAUUAUCGGACCACCUCAAGUACGUCUUUUUGGAAGAGAAAGACACUUUACCGGUAAUAGUGUCAAACAAACUAACCAAAGACGAGGAGGAAAGUCUAGUUCAAGUUUUGAGGGAUUAUAAGGAGGCUAUUGGUUGGACAAUAGCCGACAUAAAAGGGCUAAGUUCAUCCACCUGUAUACACAGAAUUUCCAUCGAAGAUAACACGAAACCAAAAAGAGAUGCUCAGAGGCGCUUUAAUCCACCCAUGAUGGAGGUAGUGAAGAAGGAAAUCCAGAAAUUGUUGGAUGCUGGAAUGAUAUACCCGAUCUCCGACAGUGAUUGGGUUAGCCCGGUUCAUAUCGUGCCCAAGAAAACUGGCGUGACAGUGGUGAAAAAUUCAUCAGGAGAGCUAGUUCCUACCCGAGUUCAGAAUGGAUGGAGGGUUUACAUCGAUUAUAGGAAGUUGAACGCAGCUACCCGAAAAGACCAUUUUCCACUUCCAUUCAUCGAUCAAAUGCUCGAGCGAUUAGCUGGUAAAACUCAUUAUUAUUGUCUCGAUGGAUAUUCAGGAUUUUUCCAAAUUCCGGUGGCGCCUGAGGAUCAAGACAAAACAACUUUCACGUGCCCUUUGGAACGUUUGCGUAUAGACGAAUGCCGUUUGGACUCUGUAAUGCUCCGGCCACCUUCUAGAGAUGCAUGGUAAGCAUAUUCUCCGAUUAUGUCGAGAAAAUCAUUGAAGUCUUCAUGGAUGAUUUCACGGUGUAUGGUAACUCUUUUAACGAAUGUCUCGAUAAUCUUGCCAAGAUAUUACAAGGAUUCCUAGAAUUUAAUCUUGUUUUAAAUUAUGAAAAAUGCCACUUCAUGGUUGACAAAGGGUUAAUUUUGGGUCAUAUAGUUUCCUCAGGACGAUUCAUAAAAGACUUCUUGAAGAUCGCGCAACCACUCUGCAAUCUGUUACAGAAGGAUAAAGAAUUUAAAUUUGACCAAACUUAUAAAGAUGCAUUUGACGUACUAAAGCAAAAAUUGGUCUCCGCCCCCAUAGUGCAACCACCGAAUUGGAACUUCCCAUUUGAAAUCAUGUGUGAUGCAAGUGAUCGAAGUGUGGGAGCUAUUCUUGGCCAAAGAAUAGGGAAAGAGCCUCAUGUUAUCUACUACGCUUCGAAAACUUUGGAAACUGCCCAAAGCAAUUACACAAACACUGAGAAAGAAUUAUUAGCUGUUGUGUUUGCUUUAGAUAAAUUUAGAUCUUACCUGUUGGGAACUAAAGUGAUUAUCUUUUCUGAUCAUGCAGCUUUGAAAUAUUUGAUAGGAAAGAAGGAGGCAAAACCUCGACUAAUUAGGUGGGUUCUACUUCUGCAAGAAUUUGAUUUUGAAAUCCAGGAUAAGAAGGGAUGCGAAAACUUAGUAGCUGACCAUCUGAGUCGAUUACCGAUUCCAGCAGAUGACACACCAUUGAAAGACAACUUCCCAUAUGAAAACCUGUUUUCAGCAAAUGCGGUUCAUCCUUGGUACGUAGACAUAGUAAACUAUCUCGUCACAGGUACUAUACCUUCAGAAUUACCAAGGUCCAGAAAAGAUAAGAUUAAAAAAGAUGCUCGAUAUUACAUGUGGGAUGAUCCUUACCUAUGGAAGCAUUGCUCCGAUCAGGUAAUUCGACGGUGUGUAGCAGAAACAGAGGUACAGUCUAUCUUAACUUUUUGUCAUUCUUAUGCAUGUGGAGGACACUUUGGACUUAAACGCACCGCACAUAAAAUUCUUGAGUGUGGACUAUUUUGGCCAAGUAUAUUUCGUGACGCCUUCUUAUUCUGUAAAACCUGUGAAAAAUGCCAAAAAGUCAGUAACCUUAGCCGUCGAAAUGAGAUGCCCCUUACUCCCAUCCAUAUUUUUGAAAUUUUUGAUGUGUGGGGCAUCGAUUUUAUGGGUCCUUUUAUUUCUUCUUUCGGUAAUUUCUAUAUACUUUUAGCUGUUGAUUACAUUUCUAAGUGGAUAAAGGCAAAGGCUACUCGCAAUGAUAAUGCUAAGACUGUGGUUGACUUUCUUAAAAGUUCUAUCUUUUCCAGGUAUGGCACCCCACGAGCAUUAAUCAACGACAGAGGAACUCAUUUCUGCAAUAAGCUCGUAAGUGCACUUAUGGAAAAAUAUGGAGUGACUCAACGAAUUGCCACUGCUUACCAUCCACAAACAAACGAACAAGCUGAAGUGUCAAAUCGAGAAAUUAAGUUCAUAUUGGAGAAUACUGUUAAACCUAACAGAAUGGAUUGGAGCUUGAGACUAAAUGACGCACUUUGGGCUUAUAGGACAGCUUACAAGGGACCAAUAGGCAUGUCACAUUAUCGACUUGUUUUUGGUAAACCGUGCCAUCUCCCGGUCGAAUUAGAGUACAAAGCAUUUUGGGCAAUUAAGCAAUGUAAUAUGGAGAUGGAGACCGCAGGAAGAGCUCGAAAGUUGGACAUUCAGGAACUCAAGGAAAUUAGAAACGAUGCAUAUGAAAGUGCUCGAGUUUAUAAAGAAAAGACGAAGGCAUUCCACGAUAAGAUGAUCACUAGGAAGCAGUUUUCAAUAGGACAAAAAGUUCUCCUAUAUGACUCCACCUUAAAAAUUUUUGCUGGUAAGCUUCGAUCCAAAUGGAUAGGUCCAUUUACUAUCACUAAUUUAUUCUCAAAUGGUGCAGUGGAAAUUCAAAGCGAAAAAACCCGAAAGUGCUUUAAGGUGAAUGGUCAACGAUUGAAACCCUUCUACGAGAAUUUUUAAAUGCACACGAUUGAGGAGAUUGUUCUCGAGGAGCCUAGAAUUUGAAUAACAGGUCGUCGAGCUAACGACGUUAAACAAAGCGCUAUUGGGAGGCAACCAAAAUUUUCUUUUCCUUUAUGCAAAUAAAUUUUUUUUUGGUAAAAUGGAAAAUGAAAAUGCAUGUCAAGGAUUAGUUCUGUCUAAGGAAAGACUUGGUACUUAAGUAUGUCCAUUGUGACUCACCUCUCUUUCCUGGGAACUUACUUGGUGCAUUUAUCACGACUAUUUACCAAAUAUCGUAAUCUUAGUUUUUAAUAAUUUAUUUCUUAAGUUUAAAACUUAGCUAAUAAAUUUGAAAAAAGAAAAAGAAAAAAACAUUUUAAUUUUAAUUUUCCUAUUAUUAUUAAUUAUUAUUUUAUCUAAUUUUUUCUAUUUUUACAGGGAACAUUCCAAGACAAAAUUUAAAUUCCACAUAUCAACCCACAAAUUCUUUUUAUUUUUCAGCUAAGGCCCACUCUACAUAUCCACCAUUUUAAAAUCCUUUUACCCUAAGCUAGCCCAUUAACCCAAACCUAACCCAUCAUACCUACCCAAAAUCCAAAAGAAAAAAAAAACAAAAUUUAAACCCAAAAUUUCCCACCCACCCCAACCGUCCAUUCCUUUUCUAAUUAAAAAAAAGAAAAAAAAGACCUUACACCCAUCAAAUCAAACUUUUACACCUAGAAAAAAACCCACUACCCCAUAUUAACUCUCCACUUUUACCCCACCUAACCGUCUACUCCUCUCAAAUAAAUAAAAACUUCACCACCAAUCAAAUCCUACACCUUUCACCCAUCACAUCCUAGCCUUCUCUUUACCCUAAAAAUAAUAAAACAGCACACAAUCCCAUUUACCCCCAUUUGACCGACCAAAGAAAGAAAAAAAAAUCUUUUUCAAACUCUACCUUCUUUCUUUUAUUCCCCCUUUCUUUCUUCUUCACCUUCAACACUGCCAUUUUUUUUUCUUUCCUUUACCAUCUUCAAAACAGACCUCCAAGUAAGCCAUUCCACCACCCCACCAUGGUACGUACCCGCGACCACGCAGCGCAAGAACCACCCUCAGCGGUAAACCGACGUCAACACCGUUUUUCCGCUCCAACCUUUGUCACCAUCGACUCUGACGAGUCUCCUCCAUCUUCACCGCCGCAACCGCGCCGCCCUAGAAGAAACUGCAGCCCAACUCCGAUCGCUGUAGUCUACCCGCCCCAUGAGCCGCCCGUUUCGACCGAUCACCCUUCGAACAGUCCUGUCGAACCACCUCAUUCAUCCAGCAGCCAAGACCGCUCAUCUCCCCGACCAAACAUCCAUGCACGUCAAUCAUCACAACGGAGACCAUCCAGAAGAACGCCGCAAUCCCCAAACGAUGGUGCUGAACCACAUUCAACGCAAAGACAAACCCGAGGCCGCCAACAGCCACCUUUGGCCGGUUCAUCAACUCCAAUGGCAGACGAUGCCGAAAAUUACGAAAAUGAAACGGAAAAUCAGGACACUGAAUAUCAUCCAUGUGAGUGAGGUCAAUUUCGACAAGGAAGAGGAUUCAUGCCCCCGAAGAAUAGAUUUCACGGGAAUCUAACAUUUACGAAUCCGGCACAUCAAGCGCAAUUCGAACAAAUUCAACAUCGCCCUCUUCCAGUAUGUAAGCACGUCGACUCAUUCUCAUUAUAUUCUUUAGAUAUCGAAGAAUCUGUUAAUCAAUAUUUUGAUGCUAUUGGGUGGACUGAUUUUGCUGCUAUUGAUGAACCUGCAUAUUAUGAGUUGGUUUUUGAAUUUUAUUCUACAUUUUACUUUAACCGUUCUGCCAACACCAUAGAUACGCCCCAUGCUGUCAAUUUUCGCUUGCUAGGUGUACAUUAUAAUCUGUCUAUUUCUGAGUUUAAUGUUGCUUUGGGAUUUGUUAAUAAGGACUAUUUAGCAACUAAUGACUAUUAUGACUCAUUUCUCGACAUACCACAUGACUUUGAUGCUAACGAAGCUUUGGCAUUGUUAACUGAAAUGAGACAAAUUUCGUACAAUCCGAAACAUUGCAAAGACAUAGAAUUCAUAGUCCUGCACUUCGAUAUAUACACCAAUUCCUUGCUUUCAAUUUUUCGGGACGUAAUGGUGCGUCUGCCUCUUUAACUAGGACUGAAUUAUUUUUUCUAUGGUGCAUGCAUUCAGGGAAAAAGGUAAAUUUAGGAUAUUGGUUUGCUAUACAGUUUCAGCAUGUUUUGCGAUCGAAUCGCCCACUUAUUUUGGGUACUUACAUCACACAUUUAGCCUCUAAUUUGAAUCCAUCAGCUAUCAAUUUUAGUUCUUUGAAUUUGGCAUACAAAACGGACUCUUUAGAUACAUAUUGUUUGGAUUCUAUGGGGUUACUUGCCAGUACCCCUUCUUCCUUUUAUUUUGUUCCUCCAGGUACAAGAACAGAUCAGUCGCAUAGAGUGUUCACACGAAGACACCAGCACGAACCAGAGCCUCCAAAUUUCGUCGAAUCUCGGUUAACCCGAAUUGAAGAAGGACUCGACUCUUUACGUACCUUAGUGACAGACGUUCUCACACAUCUACGAGACCACCCUCCACGACGUUGAAAUACAUGAGAAGUUUAUUUUUCUUCUUUUGUCUACUUACUUUUACUUUAUAUCUUUUAAUAUUACAUUGGGACAAUAUAAAAUAAGUAGGGGGAGGGAAACAUAAAUUGAUUCUAAUUUGCUUAUCUGUCAUCGCUAUUUUUGCAUGUUUUUGGUAAAAGGUAAAUUUUUCUUUUAAUUGGGAUGGUACACUUAUGAUUUGACCGAUUUAGCUAUUUAAUUCUUUACACAUGAAACUUUUCAAUAACCUAGACUUAGUGGGUAAGAAAUCUUUGGAAAUUAUGAGUUUGCAUGUUGACUACCUUUUAUCAUAAGCUUUUAUCUUUCAAAAAAAAAAGAGAAAAAAAAUAUAAUACUCUUUUGAUACGAAUGUUAAGAGUGAACAAUUGGGGUUGUGCAUCGGGCUGAGAAACCGGAACGUGGUGCUUGGGUUGUCAUCACAUCUCGCGUAAAAAGGUUCGUGUGGCUGUCCAAUUUCUUUGCACUCACUCCGCUAACAAGUUAUCAUGAGUAGGGCGAAAUAACCUGCUUAGAGACGUCUGAAUUGAGUAACCGGAACAUGGUGCUUGGGUUGUCAUCAUGUCUCGCAUCAAAAAAUUCGAUAAUGUCAUAAGUAAAAAAAUAAAUAAAUAAAAUAAUAAAAUGAAAGGUAAGUCUAUCAAGCUCUAAUAAAUUCUGAAAUAUAUUUACUUACUUCUUAGGCUAGGAUAUUUGAGAUGUUAAUGUGCUAGGAUUAAAUUGUUGAAUUGUGCAAACCAUGAGGGUCAAGUUCUAUUUUGGAGAAAAUUUUUCCUUUUGCAGAUACAUACAAAAUGCUCGAUGACUAGCAUAAGCUAAGUAGGGGGGAUUUGAUUAAAUGCUAAAAGUUACAUAUUUUAUGUAACUAAAUUGGUUAAUUUAUGAGAAUGCACCACUAAUUUUGUCAUAUUUAUUGAAUUUUGUGCAGGAAUGUAAUUUGGGGCUAAAUAGAAGAAAAAGGAAAAAAUUGGGCCAAAUUAAAGAGAGAAGCAAAGAAGGAGGGCCAAAGUAGAAUUUUUCCAAUAUUAAUUAGCUGAAAAUUUUGUUGACUUAGUGGGGGAGAUUAUUUUGGGAUUUAUUUUAUUAUGGGAUAUUUUUUCCUUAAUUUUCUAUGACUAGUUGGCUCCUAAUUUAGUAAAUCCACUAGUAUAAAUAGAGCUUGUAUUGUUCAUCAAUUCAUCAAUCAAAAAACAUUUAGCUUUUAUCUUUCAAAUUCUCUCCUUUCUCACAUAGCCUUUGUUAUUUCUUAGUUUGUCUUCCUUCAAUUUAUUAGUUCCAGUAGCCAACCAUCCAUUUCACCUUUAUUUUCAACUUUUCAUAAAUUUAUUUAUUGUCUUUAGUUUCUUUAACUUUCAACUCCUAAAACUUCCAGCUUGGUACUACUUACCAUUUACAAUUCCUUUUUCAAAUUCCCUUUUUCAACCACCCCACUUUAAUAUAUAUAUAUUUUUUCCACCCCCAUACUCAAUCACAUCACCCAUCUUUUCACAUUUUCUACCUUAUUUAAUUUAUCAAAUACCAACAUGUCCCAAACAUUAGCCAACUAAACCCAUUUUCAGCUUUAGGCCGGAAUUAGCUUCGUCAAAACCCGUGAAUUACAAACCCGAGCAGUUCAACUCCUAAAAUUCCAGUACUUAUUACUUCUCCAGAUUAAGAGUAUGAUUUUGUCAGCUCACAGAGUCAGAUCAACACUAAGUAAAAAAAAACGUCGUUUGAUUUAGUAUGGUUAGACGUAUAGUUGGAAUUCCGAAAGGAACGUUUCUAAUCGGUUUUCUGUGAACACAUUGGCUUGCCAAGUGGAGAUAGCUAUUUGGUUCCGUGAAGGGAAGUAGUAACCGGAUUUAAAUGUCCCACGCGGUUGAGGGCAUUGGUUCGAGCUAGGCUCUUCUAGAACUCAAAGCUGCCGGAGUUCUAAAUCACGAACGUUUCGUGGUUGUUCGAUCGGUAAGAAUUAGUUAUUGGACGUUCCAUAACUAAUUUACACAAGGAAGAGUUGGUGUCCGAGGCGUCCUUGGUAACUAUAACUAGCUUAUUGGAAAAGAGGAGUUCAUCCAAUUUCGAGGAUCGGUUCAAAGACGAGGAAAAUUCGUGCCUAAAGCUGAGCUCAUUCUAAUUAAUUUUUCUUAAUAUUUAUUUAACCGUUUUUAUUAUUCUGUUUUCAACUUUUAUUUUUGAUGUUAUUUUUCUGUUAAUUUCAGGUUUAGGGAUUUUUAUCCCCCCGAACGUCUUGGGCACGAAAGCUGCCCCGACAUAAAUCUGGUCAAGCGAGCAACAAUUUACAGUAAACCAGUCUCUGAGGGAUCGACCCUACUCCCUAUACUGCAUAAUUUGCAAACUAAGGUGUAGGUUUAUAUUGGUGGAUUCGACACCCACCAUUCACCUAUAAAAAUUUUAUAUAACGAUAAAAUAUUUCAAAUACCACCAUAAUAUAAUAAAAUAUAUAUACAGCAAAAAAAUGUGGCCAAAUCGGAAUUUGGUCUAAUUCAUGUACCGUCAUGUUGACAAUUUAUCAAUUUGUUUGGAAGGUUCCUGAAAGAAAGUUGUAUGAAGGGAACAUAUAAUAUAAGAC